rnacentral:rRNA from 1 species
UACAGAGGGUGCAAGCGUUAAUCGGAAUUACUGGGCGUAAAGCGUGCGUAGACGGUUGCGUAAGUCAGAUGUGAAAGCCCCGGGCUCAACCUGGGAAUUGCAUUUGAGACUGCGUAGCUAGGGUGCGGAAGAGGGAAGCGGAAUUUCCGGUGUAGCGGUGAAAUGCGUAGAUAUCGGAAGGAACACCAGUGGCGAAAGCGGCCCCCUGGUUGGAUACUGACGCUGAUACGCGAAAGCGUGGGGAGCAAACAGG